rnacentral:tRNA from 1 species
GGCGGAUUCGUCUAACUGGCCAGAACGAGAGGCUCUCAAUCUCUAAAUGUCGGGUUCGAAUCCCACAUCCGUCACCA